UGGGAAGGUGGGGGUCCCACUGGGUUGU
rnacentral:sRNA from 1 species